AUACGGAGGGUGCAAGCGUUAAUCGGAAUUACUGGGCGUAAAGCGUGCGCAGGCGGUUUGUUAAGUCAGAUGUGAAAGCCCCGGGCUCAACCUGGGAACUGCAUUCGAUACUGCCGGGCUAGAGUUUGGUAGAGGGAAGUGGAAUUCCACAUGUAGCGGUGAAAUGCGUAGAGAUGUGGAGGAACACCAGUGGCGAAGGCAGCCAUCUGGCCUAACACUGACGCUGAGGUGCGAAAGCAUGGGGAGCAAACAGGAUUAGAUACCCGAGUAGUCC
rnacentral:rRNA from 1 species